rnacentral:rRNA from 1 species
AGGACGAACGCUGGCGGCGUGCUUAACACAUGCAAGUCGAGCGGAAAGGCCCUUCGGGGUACUCGAGCGGCGAACGGGUGAGUAACACGUGAGUAAUCUGCCCCUAUGCUCUGGGAUAGCUCCGGGAAAACCGGGAUUAAUACCAGAUACGACCACUUUAGACAUCUGUUGUGGUGGAAAGAAUUUUGGCUAGGGAUGAGCUCGCGGCCUAUCAGCUUGUUGGUGAGGUAACGGCUCACCAAGGCGACGACGGGUAGCCGGCCUGAGAGGGCGACCGGCCACGACUGGGACUGAGACACGGCCCAGACUCCUACGGGAGGCAGCAGUGGGGAAUAUUGCGCAAUGGGCGAAAGCCUGACGCAGCGACGCCGCGUGGGGGAUGAAGGCCUUCGGUGUAAACCCUUUCAGCAGGGACGAAGCGAAAGUGACGGUACCUGCAGAAGAAGCGCCGGCUAACUACGUGCCAGCAGCCGC